GGCUCGCACUAUGGACGCACACUAAGGGGGGUGAGGAAGACAGCUUCUAUAAUCCAACUACUACGCAUGCGCGAAACCGGAGCGGGGAGCCCGGUCAGGCGGCAGCAUUCAGUUUGCGCACGUAUCUACUACCAGUACCGAUAUUUAGUCUAACCUCAAAUCAAAUUAAUAAUAUACAAAUACUGGCACCAAGUAUACCUGAAUACAGGUAGUCGGUUCUGUUAUUAUAACAAGUACGCAGGUGAAAUUGUUGUUUACACAAGUUUUAGUUACAAAUUAUUUCGUGAAAAUGGAUAUAGAUAAUUUAAUUUCGUCUGUAUUUAAUAAAAGAGCGCUGUGGGACAAGAAACAUAAACGCCAUGGAAAUAGGCAUUUGACGAAUAAGUAUUGGCACGAAAUUAGUACAGAGAUGAAUGAAGAUGAAAAUAAAAUACGAAAGAAAUGGCGUUACCUGCGAGAUCAAUUCGCCGUAGAACUAGGCAAGAUUCACUGCAACUGGAUGGAAGACGAGGAAAACGUAAACAGUCCAAAGUGGCCUUAUUUUAAAUCUCUACUGUUUCUCAAGGACCAAGUGAGGCCCCGAAUCACGAAACGCUUUUCUCGCCAAAGAUCACAAGAUUCACAGGAACAAAAUUCAGAAGACCCUGACUUCGAUAAUGAUGGUCCACUGCUGGCCUCAAAUGAUAAAUUCGAUGAACCAAGUCCUGCCUCAUCAAGCCGUGAAACAGAAGUAAAGCAUAGCCCAUUCAAAAGACCAAAGAACAAAAUACAUACAGAUAGAAGACUAGAAAUAGAGAAAAGGAAAUUAUGGUACAUUCAGAAGAAAAGACUAAAGCAGAAAAGGCUAAUUUCAGAAAGGGGGGAGCAUCUUUUGUUUUUCAAAAGUCUUUUGCCCCAUAUUCGAAAGAUUCCAAGGCACACACUGCUUUCGUUUAGAAGCCGAAUACAAGAUGUAGUAGAAGAAUUUGCUUACCGGAAUAAGAAUAUCGAAUCAGCGAAUUCCGCUUCAAACAUGUCGGAUUUUUCUUGCCAAAGCCCUAUGGAGAUUGGAGAAAGUAAAUCAGAAAUAAGAAUUGAUGCUUAAAUUUUUUAUCUUUAUUACCAAUGUGUAUUAAGUGAGUUAAUAAAAUAAUUAUCUAUGUUA